CUCAGGAUGAACGCUGGCGGCAUGCCUAAUACAUGCAAGUCGAACGGGAAGCAACCUUCGGGGUUGUGGAGAGUGGNCGCCCGGGUGAGUAACACGUAGCUGACCUACCCUACACAGGGGGAUAACCCACGGAAACGUGAGCUAAUACCCCGUACGCUCGCUGAGAUUAGAGGCUUGGCGAGGAAAGCUGAGGCGGUGUAGGCGGGGGCUGCGGUCCAUCAGCUAGUUGGUGUGGUAAAGGCGCACCAAGGCAACGACGGAUAGGGGACCUGAGAGGGUGACCCCCCACACUGGUACUGACACACGGACCAGACUCCUACGGGAGGCAGCAGUAAGGAAUAUUGCGCAAUGGAGGCAACUCUGACGCAGCAAUGCCGCGUGCGGGAAGCAGGGCUUCGGCUCGUAAACCGCUUUUCUGAGGGAAGAGUAAGGACGGUACCUCAGGAAUAAGUCCCGGCUAACUACGUGCCAGCAGCCGCGGUAAAACGUAGGGGGCAAGCGUUAUCCGGAUUUACUGGGCGUAAAGCGCGUGCAGGCGGUCUUGUAAGUCGUGCGUGAAAGCUCCCUGGCUCAACCGGGAGAGGUCGUGCGAGACUGCGAGACUAGAGGCAGAGAGAGGCAAGUGGAAUUCCGGGUGUAGUGGUGAAAUGCGUAGAUAUCCGGAAGAACACCAGUGGCGAAGGCGGCUUGCUGGCUCUGACCUGACGCUCAGACGCGAAAGCACGGGGAGCGAACGGGAUUAGAAACCCCGGUAGUCCAUGCCGUAAACGAUGUCUACUAGGCGUUGACGUAAGUCAGUGCCGAAGCUAACGCGUUAAGUAGACCGCCUGGGGACUACGGCCGCAAGGCUAAAACUCAAAGGAAUUGACGGGGGCCCGCACAAGCAGCGGAGCGUGUGGUUUAAUUCGAGGCUACACGAAGAACCUUACCUGGGCUUGACAUAUAGGUGGUAGUGAACCGAAAGGGGAACGACCUUCGGGAGCCUAUACAGGUGCUGCAUGGCUGUCGUCAGCUCGUGUCGUGAGAUGUUCGGUUAAGUCCGGUAACGAGCGCAACCCCUAGUGUUAGUUACAAGUGUCUAGCACGACUGCCCGGAUUAACUGGGAGGAAGGUGGGGAUGACGUCAAGUCAGCAUGGCCUUUAUGCCCAGGGCUACACACACGCUACAAUGGCCGGUCCAAUAGGUUGCCAACCCGCGAGGGGGAGCCAAUCCUGGAAAGUCGGUCUCAGUUCGGAUUGCAGGCUGCAACUCGCCUGCAUGAAGCUGGAGUUGCUAGUAAACGCAGGUCAGCUAUACUGCGUUGGAUACGUUCCCGGGCCUUGUACACACCGCCCGUCACGUCAUGGGAGCUGGUCACGCCUGAAGUCGGUGGGCUAACCGUAAGGGAGCAGCCGCCAAAGGCAGGGCUGGUGACUGGGACGAAGU
rnacentral:rRNA from 1 species